UAGCAUAUCAAUAAGCGGAGGAAAAGAAACUAACAAGGAUUCCCCUAGUAACGGCGAGUGAAGAGGGAAGAGCCCAAGAUUGAAAGCUGGCGUCUUCGGCGUCCGCAUUGUAAUCUCAAGAAGUGUUUUCCGCUUCGGACCAUGCCUAAGUCCCUUGGAAAAGGGCAUCAUAGAGGGUGAAAAUCCCGUACAUGGCAUGGAGCGCCCGAAGCUUUGUGAUACGCUUUCUAAGAGUCGAGUUGUUUGGGAAUGCAGCUCAAAAUGGGUGGUAAAUGCCAUCUAAGGCUAAAUAUUGGGGAGAGACCGAUAGCGAACAAGUACAGUGAUGGAAAGAUGAAAAGAACUUUGAAAAGAGAGUUAAACAGUACGUGAAAUUGCCAAAAGGGAAGGGUAGGAGGUCAGAGAUGCGUCUUGGAAUUCAGCCUUGCUUUUGCUUGGUGUUUUUUCCAAGUUGCAGGCCAACGUCGGUUUUGGGCACUGGAGAAUGGUAGGAGGAACGUGGCACCUCUCGGGGUGUGUUAUAGCCUCCUACUGGAUACAGCGACCGAGACCGAGGAACGCAGCGUACUCGUAAGAGCGGGCCUUUUGGCACCUUUACGCUUAGGGCGUUGGCAUAAUGGCCCUCUACCACCCGUCUUGAAACACGGACCAAGGAGUCUAACAUGUAUGCGAGUCUUUGGGUGGCAAACCCAUAGGCGCAAUGAAAGUGAAUUCAGGUGGGAUCCGCAAGGUGCACCAUCGACCGAUCCUCACGUCUUUUAAGUCGUGGAUUUGAGUAAGAGCAUACCUGUUGGGACCCGAAAGAUGGUGAACUAUGCCUGAAUAGGGUGAAGCCAGAGGAAACUCUGGUGGAGGCUCGUAGCGGUUCUGACGUGCAAAUCKAUCGUCAAAUUUGGGUACAGGGGYGA
rnacentral:rRNA from 1 species